GAUGAACGCUGGCGGCGUGCCUAAUACAUGCCAGUCGAGCGAACGGACGAGAAGCUUGCUUCUCUGAUGUUAACGGCGGACGGGUGAGUAAUACGUGGAUAACAUCCCUAUAAGACUGGGAUAACUUCGGGAAACCGGAGCUGGUACCGGGUAAUAUUUUGAACCGCUUGGUUCAAAAGUGAAAGACGGUCUUGCUGUCUAUUAUCGAUCGAUCCGCGCUGCAUUAGUUAGUUGGUAAGGUAACGGCUUACCAAGGCAACGAGGGAUAGCCGACCUGAGAGGGUGGUCGGCCACACGGGAACUGAGACACGUCCCAGACUCCUACGGGGGGCAGCAGUAGGGAAUCUUCCGGAAGGGGGGAAAGCGUGACGGAGCAACGUGGGGGGAGGGAUGAAGGUCUUCGGAUGGGAGAACGCUGAUAGCAGUGGAGAUCAAAUGUGUAAGUAACUGAGCAGAUCUUGACGGUACCUGGACAGGAAGCCACGGCUAACUACGUG
rnacentral:rRNA from 1 species